AUGGUCCUAAAUCCAAUGACAGGUGUCCUUUUAAGGAGGGGACGACACAGAGACACACAGGGGAGAAAGCCACGUGAGAAGAGAGGCAAAGACCACAAAUGUCUGGAACCACAAGCGGCUGCAAGAGGCAAGGUCUCCAUUCUAAAAGCAAACCCUUGGGGGACCUCAGUGGCUCUGUCGGUUAAGCAUCUAUCUUCUGCUCCGGUUGUGAUCAUGGGGUGCUGGGAUGAAGGCUGGCAUCGGGCUCCCUGCUCAGCGGGGAGUCUGCUCUCACUCCCUCUGUCCUUGCCCUCCAACUCAUGCUUUCUCUCUCUCUCAAGUAAAUAAAUGAAAUCCUUUAAAAAUAAAAAUAAAUGAAGGCAAAUCCUUAGAGUUAGCCAGUCAUCCUCAAGUAGGCAGAGUAACAGUUGCAUGGGGGUGCUCCUUAGCCCCCAGGUUUGAAUAACAUGAAUGUACUGGCUGCUGCAUGUAAUGUUAGCUCGAGAGGUCUGUGGGUAUCAUUGUUCUGAAGAAGACAGCACAGAAAAAUCACUGAACACUGUAACUAGAGUCAAAAGAUCUGCAAUUCAAUUUGUACUUUGCUAACAUCAGAUUAUUUUUACCUUGGGAAUGUUUGCAAGUUUCACUUCACCUCAGUGGCGUAUCUGGGCAAUAAGAACAUUGGGGUAAAUAAACUCGAAGAUUCCAAGAUUCUGUUCUCCCACUGAUGUUUGAAUGGCCCAUUUGAAGGGCAUUGGUGUGUUCAUUGCUCGGUACUGGAGCAUAUAUAUCAGAGUCAUACCAAGCCAUCCUAAGCGCUAAAUAGUGAUACAAGGAGUCCAGUUCUUGCCAAAAUAACUAUCACAAAGAUCAUGAUUGUAUUAAACAGAAGCAAUUGCUCUAGGAGCCUACCUCGGUGUUUUAGCUGAAUGAAACACUUAUUAUUAUAUGAACUACCACCUUGACACAAAAGGUUUUAAUUAAAGGCGAUAAAAU
rnacentral:lncRNA from 1 species